CAUGGAGGGUGAGAAUCCCGUUCAUGGUUAAUCUUAAGGAAGCUCUACGAUACGUUUUCAAAGAGUCGAGUUGUUUGGGAUUGCAGCUCAAAAUGGGAGGUAAAUUUCUCCUAAGGCUAAAUAUUGGCGAGAGACCGAUAGCGAACAAGUACCGUGAGGGAAAGAUGAAAAGAACUUUGAAAAGAGAGUUAAACAGUACGUGAAAUUGUUGAAAGGGAAACGAUUGAAGUCAGUCGUACCGACGAGAAAUCAACUCAUCGAAUGGGUAUUCGCGGGCGUAUAGAGCUUCACGGCCUCAUCGUUUGCGAAUGCAUGUUCUUUGGGUGUACUUUUUCGUAUGGUAGGUUAACGUCGGUUUCGAUUACUAUAAAAUGAUCGGAGGAAUGUAGCUUCGAUCUCGUAUUGAAGUGUUAUAGCCUUUGGUAAAUGUGAUGAUUAGGAUCGAGGAUUGCAACGAAUACCCUUUUGGGCUAUCCGCCUGAUCUCUGAUACGUGGCCUUGGUAUUGAAAGCGUGCUUACGAUAUAAAGGUAUUACGGUCAAAAGGUUAGAACGGAUUACAUUCGUUAAGGAUGUUGACGUAAUGG
rnacentral:rRNA from 1 species